UUUCCGUAGGUGAACCUGCGGAAGGAUCAUUAUUGUAUAACCGAGGUGCGAGGGCUGUCGCUGACCCGAAAGAUCGUGCACGCCCGAGUGCCCUCACCCACAUCCAUCUCACCCCUAUGUGCACCACCGCGUGGCUCCCCCUUUGGCUUGUUCGGAGGGGGGCUUACGUGCUCACACAAACUUUGUAUGCAGUGUCGAAUGUAAUUUUUGUUUUUGCGAUCACGCAAUCAAUACAACUUUCAACAACGGAUCUCUUGGCUCUG
rnacentral:misc_RNA from 1 species